rnacentral:rRNA from 1 species
AAUGAACGCUGGCGGCAGGCCUAAAACAUGCAAGUCGAACGCCCUAGCAAUAGGGAGUGGCGCACGGGUGAGUAACACGUGGGAAUAUGCCUUUUGGUACGGAACAACGUCUGGAAACGGACGCUAAUGCCGUAUGGUCCCUUCGGGGUAAAGAUUUAUCGCCAAAAGAUUAGCCCGCGUCUGAUUAGCUAGUUGGUGAGGUAAUGGCUCACCAAGGCGACGAUCAGUAGCUGGUCUGAGAGGACGAUCAGCCACACUGGGACUGAGACACGGCCCAGACUCCUACGGGAGGCAGCAGUUAGGAAUAUUGGACAAUGGACGCAAGUCUGAUCCAGCCAUGCCGCGUGAGUGAUGAAGGCCUUCGGGUUGUAAAGCUCUUUAGUCCACGAUUAUAAUGACUGUAGUGGAAGAAUAAGCCCCGGCUAACUUCGUGCCAGCAGCCGCAGUAAAAC